rnacentral:rRNA from 1 species
GAGUAAUGUCUGGGAAACUGCCUGAUGGAGGGGGAUAACUACUGGAAACGGUAGCUAAUACCGCAUAACGUCGCAAGACCAAAGAGGGGGACCUUCGGGCCUCUUGCCAUCGGAUGUGCCCAGAUGGGAUUAGCUAGUAGGUGGGGUAACGGCUCACCUAGGCGACGAUCCCUAGCUGGUCUGAGAGGAUGACCAGCCACACUGGAACUGAGACACGGUCCAGACUCCUACGGGAGGCAGCAGUGGGGAAUAUUGCACAAUGGGCGCAAGCCUGAUGCAGCCAUGCCGCGUGUAUGAAGAAGGCCUUCGGGUUGUAAAGUACUUUCAGCGGGGAGGAAGGGAGUAAAGUUAAUACCUUUGCUCAUUGACGUUACCCGCAGAAGAAGCACCGGCUAACUCCGUGCCAGCAG